UACGGAGGGGGCUAGCGUUGUUCGGAAUUACUGGGCGUAAAGCGCACGUAGGCGGCCUUUCAAGUCAGGGGUGAAAUCCCGGGGCUCAACCCCGGAACUGCCCUUGAAACUGGGAGGCUAGAAUCGUGGAGAGGCGAGUGGAAUUCCGAGUGUAGAGGUGAAAUUCGUAGAUAUUCGGAAGAACACCAGUGGCGAAGGCGACUCGCUGGACAAGCAUUGAAGCUGAGGUGCGAAAGCGUGGGGAGCAAACAGG
rnacentral:rRNA from 1 species